GUAGUACUCCCUCCGUCCGGAAAUACUUGUCAUCAAAACGGACAAAAAAGGAUGAAUCUAGAACUAAAAGACAUUUAGAUACACCCUUUUUGUUCAUUUUGAUGACAAGUAUUUCCAGACGGAGGGAGUAGCGG
rfam:Triticum aestivum genome assembly, contig: Triticum_aestivum_CS42_TGACv1_scaffold_321916_4BL